GAAAACUUUCUAUGUGCUCUUUUUUAAAAAUAAAUUAUUAUUUUCUUCUCUUUAAAAAAGAUGCAUUUAUUUUUUCUUUGGAGGCAGAGUUACAGAGAGAGGGAGAAAGAGAGAGAGAUCUUUCAUCCAUAUCAGAUGGAAGCCAGGAGGCAGGAAUUUCUUCCAGAUCUCCCACGUGGGUGCAGGGACCUCAGCACUUGGGCCAUCUUCUGCUACUUUCACAGGUACAUCAGCAGGGAUCUGGAUCGGAAGUGGAGCAGCCGGGUCUCAGAACCAGAGCCUAAAUUGGAUGCCGGCGUCACAUGCAGCAGCAGUUUUAUCCACUACCCCACAGCACUGGUCCCUUUCUAUAUAUUCUUAAAGAUAGUGCUCAACAUAGGAACAUUAUUGUGUGUGCUAAGUGAGGUGGGACAAGGCUGCUUUAUUUUUUCCAUUGUGUCACAGUUUUUAGAAGUUACUCCUUAUCCACAAAUCCCCCCUCGGGUUUUGGGCAGCUUGUCUAAUAGAGAAACUGGCAUGUCCAUUCAUUCUGUGAGCUAUUGUAGGACCCCAAAAGCGGUGUCCUCUUGUGACGACCCCAGAAACACAGACUCCGGACCAGACGAUGCAAUAGAACAGGAGGUAAUUUAUUUCAUUUGUACAAAUGGGCCCUCUACUGCUGCAAGCAGCAAGCAAGCGAGAGGAGCCCCGAGCAGCUAUCUCACACAGCUUUUAAAGGGCAAAACCACAAAAUUAACAUAUUAUAGGCUGGUGUAAGUUCAUUGGAUAAUUUUCAGUAGCGGGCCUUGUAUGGCAGUCUAAAAGUGGUAAUGUCGGUGGAAAAGUACUAGGUCAAAGGGAUACAUUAGGGGAGGGGGUCUCUAGGGGAGAGGAAUAGGUUGCUACGUGCCUUGCAGCUUUCUUUGUUAACCUUGAGCAAGCGUAGGGAAGGGGCUUAUCUACAAGGCAGGUGUUCUGUGUAUCUCUGGUUAGUAGCUGACUGCUUUCUCUGUGAACCGGUUUACUCCCCAUUUCCCAAGGCCGUCUCUGGAACGGUUUGUCU